rnacentral:lncRNA from 1 species
GGGUAGUGAGGGUUCGUAUGUGUGGCCCUAAAUUUAUAGCAAGUGGUUGAUAAAUUCAUGAAACGUCUGGAUUUGAAGGAUGAAGAAUCAUCGGGAGGUAGAACGAAACAUUGAAGAAGAGUUUAAAGAUCAUUGAUUGAUCAGAAUUGGCUCAAGGUAACGUAAACCUCGAACUCAGAGAUUGGAGAAGAUGAAUUAGAAGAGUCGAGGGAGAGAGAAUCUUACGCUUGAGACGAAUUAGGUUUUUGGUUUUUGAUGGGCCGAAUUAUAAUUUUUAGAAA